UGUAGGGUGCGUGUAAUUUAAAAUAUAUUUACAUUCUGGGUAGCAUGAUCUGUGAUACCCAAAGAAGAAAAUAGCUGUUCCUCUAAGUAGUGCAAGGCAAAAAUUCAUUUUCCAUCAACAAGCAGCAGGAACGUUGUGGGUAACAAAUACAUGUAAUGGAUGAUCAACUAUUAAUUCUCAAAAACUUUCCGCUGCUGGUACCCCACAAUAGAGAAUUUACGUUUUACGAUGGGUUUAUAUGUGUUAAGGGUGCUGAAUUCAGAAUAUCACUCAAUGUCCCACAUUAUCCAGCACUGAAAGAUAUGCAUCUGGAAUGUUCAUGGGAUAUAAGUGCCCUUCUGCAUGGAAAGGAGAACGCAAUAACACAGAUUCAAGAAACCUGCCAUACACUUCAUGAAUUUUUGGAAGCACUAUGUACAUUGACGGCUGAACAGAUGAGUGACAGCCAAGGUACAGCCAAUGUAACUACAAGAACAUACAUUAACAUCAUGGAAGAACUGGCAUCAGUGAACCCAGCUUACAUAUCACAUUUGUCUGUAGCACAACAGCAGGUUGUUCUCCAGAAAAUUGAUUCUGCUGGGAGGAAACAUUAUCUAUCGUUGUCAGGAAUUGGAGAACCAAGUCCCCAAGUUUCUGCAGAUCUACCUCGGCAGGCCCUGGCUGCUGUUCGUGCUAAGGGUCCAUCUGUGGGAUCAAUGUACAGAGUAUUUUGUCAACAAGUGGCUUCCCUUCAAAGGUUCUGGACAGUCAUGCAAGAGGUUGAUUCUUCUUGUUGGGUCAUAGAUCCUGAAGAACCAAACCUACGUGAUACUGCUCGAAGGAUCAUCAUUGGUGAAAAUGUCUCUUUGCAACUGCAGGUGAAUCCAUGGGAUCCUUGUUCUCGUCCUGAUAUCAAAUUUCUAGGGCCAGAAAAAACUGUGUCAGAGUUCCGUGAGAGACUCAUUUACAGAUUUGAGGAAUGGGAUUCUGAGAGCAGCCUUCCUGACAACCUUAAAUCAGUUUUGGGUUUCGAAAGCUUUCCUGAGAAACCAGAAGGUACUGGUGAGGAUGAGGCAAACCUUUUGAUACGACCAGGAGAAUGUUUUGUUUGCUUUUCAGUUCGCUUGGAGGGUAGCUUGCCAUCAGAGGCUUGUCCAUCUGAAAGAUGUGGCAGCAUAUUUCACAUGGACUGUCUUUAUCAGUUGCUGAUGUCACUUCCCACCAGCCACCGUAGCUUCAAUAGAAUUAGUGGGGAGUGUCCCAGCUGUGGUGCUGCAAUAUCGUGCCCAAUCCCUGGUUGAAGUGAAGCCAUCGGUUCAGCAGUUGACAAAGAUAACAACAUGUUAUCGUCACUGCUGGUUAUGGGACGUUAGACUUUAUGAUGAAAUUUGUUGGUGUUUGGGAGGGAGGUGCCUCGGUUGGGAUGACAGGACCAGUUCCCCACCAAGCAAUGAAGAUUGUAAACGAUUUUUGAGCCAACUUGGUCUGAGCCCAGUCCACUAGCUGUGCAUGAAGCAUCAAUUAUGACAGAGCUCAGUUAACUGGCUGCAGGCGACGCUAUAU